AUCGUCGGAACGAAUGUCGUGCCCCGAGUACUUAGAUGAGAGUUCAUUGUGUGAUCUCUUUUCUUGGGGAUGUUUUAUGACCAUUAAGCCUUACUCUUGUGCUACCGGUCUUAUAACAUCAAAGGAUCUUUGAGAAAUCAACAUCUGCUUAUAGGAUAAUCUCACAUCAAGUCAGUUGAAAAAUCAAAGUAUCCAACUUUGUUCUGCAAUAUAAGUAACAUUAUUAUCCACAUGCAUAUAUGCCUAAAAAAAUUGAAAAAAAAAAGAACACAAGAUCCAACAAACAUCCUAAGUCCCAACGUCCAUGACAUGCAAACACCCUACAUGCAACA
rnacentral:lncRNA from 1 species